UUUCCAUUCUCGAGCAGGCUUUAGUUACUGUCGGUUACUUCCCGGCCGUUAAAAGUCACAGAUAGUAUUCGACUUUAUUUUAUUUGGAAAGGAGAGAAAAGGGAAAGGACCAAGAACAUCCCUUCACUCUUCCGGACACACAAGCGAAAUCGGAUCCUUCAGUUUAUUUUUUGAGGAAGAAAAAACAGAAAAAUGGCGAUGACGAUUGAAGGUACUGUUUCUUAAUCUCUUCUUUCUUCAGUCAUUUCCACUUUCUCUUUUUCGUUUUGAAUUGAGAUCAGAUCAUCUUUUUUUUGUUUUUUUUUUCCCUUCCCCAUUUAAUAUGCAUUCCCCCCUUUUGUUUCGUUUAAUUUUGUAGCAAUUGUACCUAUUUAUAGAAUUUUUUUCCAGUUAGUCAUUUCAAUUCGGGUUUGCUUUAGUUUUCGAGGGUUUUGGAUUCAACAGGUGUUGAAUUUGAGUUAAAUUCACCUAAGAGGAUGUGUGUUUUCACUAUUUGGAGGCUAAUCCUCUGUUUGUUUCUCGGGAUAAAGAGCGAAGGAACGAUGUAAAUGGCAUUUUUUUUUCUUUUUUUACAAUAUUGAUUGGUUCGUUAGAUUAGUUUGGUUUAAAUUCCUUACUCUACUAAUGGAACUUGCUGAAAAUAAUGAGGCAUACCGAUUUGUAUGUUCGAAGCUUACUUAUCGUACAAUAUCUUUUAAGGUAGAAUUAUCUGUAAUUUAUGGGCUAGGUUUGAUAGUGGAUUGUGUUUAUUCAUGUUUCAAACUCAUGUAUUUAUUUGGAGUCCAAAUUACUGUAAUGUAGUGUAUAAUAUCAGUUCUUAUUGAUUUUUAAUGUUUGGCACCUCAUUGUUUUAUUACACUAAUAUUAAUUUCUGAUGCUAACUUCUUUUUUUUUUUUUUCCGGGUGCAUUUCUGCUCUGGUGUUGCUGAAUGGACAUUGACCUUUGUCUGCAGUGUAAGUUGGAUGCUUGAAUCCAAAAUUUUAGCUUGUCAUGUAUUCCAAAUAAUGCCUAUAAUGUGUUAACUGAAAUGCAGGCUUGCUGGACUUGCUUUUAUGUUUUCAGCUAGCAUUCUACUGCAAGUAUUGGUAUGUUUUUUAUUUGAUUGGUUGCAUUGUGAUUACCCUGUAUUGUAAUUAUUAUCUAAUGGGAUUUUCAUUGAUAUUGUUGUCAUUUAAUGUCAUGUUGGAUCUACUGUCUGAUGGGUUUUUCAUGUUUCAGGGUGUAUAUUAGCUGAUCUUAGACAUAUUUUUCUUCUGCCUUUUUUCAUUCCUGAUGUCGUCUUUCCUUGGCUAUACUUUUAGGAGAUUCAUAUGAAAGAGAUGGCAUGCUUCUCUACUUAAAGUGCCUUGAGUAUUUAUCCAGUUACUUUUAUUUCACUUGUCUUGACGAGUCAAGUUAUCUUAGUUUGUGCUUGUGUUAUUGUUGCAAGAUUGAAUAAAAAAUGUACUUUUUUUUUUCUGUGUAAUCUACUCCUUUAAAUAAGAUGAUGGAUGGACGGACCAUUUUUAACACUUUGAAAAACUGGGAGGCAAUCUAGGAACAAUCCAAAAAUUGCCUAUUUUUUUUAGUUAAUGUCCAUUGUCAAUGGGUAAGCACAAAGGGAGAGUGUGAGGUUGCCUUUCUGAGUUGAAGUGUAAAGGUUGCAUAGAAUCACAAGUUGGGCCAUUAAGUGCAUGAUCAUCAUAGCCAUUGCAGGAGUGAGAGGGGGAGCUGAACUUGGGAGAUGAUAAAUUUGUCAUAUGACAUAUUGUUUCAGAUUCCACAUGGAAUAAUUAGAAGAAACCAUAGUAAAGGGCCAUUGUAUUCUGGUUUUUUGAUCUGAGCAUUGGCUUUCCUCAUUUUAUUCUUUUUUAACUGUGUGCCAAUGUAGGCCGACGGGAAGGGACUAUGCUUUAUUGAAUCAUGACUUUAAAUACAUUGUACAAAGUUCUAGUUUCAUUUGAUGACUAAAUAUUGCUUAUGUCUUUUACUGGUAUUUAAUUGUCAGAAAGUACCUAGUUUAAUAGGUUACAUCUUGAAUGCUUUUGGAAUUAAUAUAAGUUUUAUGUUAUGAUUUAUUUAAUGAGUUUAAAUACAAUUAACUCAAUCUAGAUUGGGCAAACACAUUGGAGCUAUUGGCAAGAAAGUAGUUUGAGGUUUAAAACUCCGUUGAAUUGAGUUAAAAAAAGGGGGAUUAUGACACUUGGACCCUUGACUUUUCCACCCUUGACUUUUCCAUUUGUUGGCUAAUUGUUGUGGAGGAAGAUUACCAUUAAUAAAUUGGCAAUUAUCAGUGAGACUUUUUUUAAUCCUAUAGUUUACUUUGUUUUACGUUGAUUUUUAUUAAAAUAUGGAUCUUAGUUAAAGGUGGUUUGGACUUUUGUCCUUGUUAAAUAAUAGGAAGAAAAUUAGUAGAUUUCCAAAUCAAUUAGCAUAAUUAUAGGAAUAGAGUUUGUAUAUUUUCCUAGUUAGUUAGCUUUAUUUUGGGAAGGCUUGUAUAUAAAUUUGUAGUCAUUCUUCAUGAAAUAUAUUUCAGUUUUCUACACCAACAAUAGCAUGGUAUCACAGCUAGGUCUCAAGAAACGUAGAAUCUGGACUAUCUUUUUCCCCCCUUCUCUGUUUGGAUUCAAGCUACUGGAGUUUUUGGGUCAUCCAUCUAAGGUGACAUUUUAUCUAAUUGCACGUCCUAGGGAAUUCUAGUCCGCCAAUUGGCUUGUUCUCAAGAUCAAGUCAUCAUGCUCAGUUAUACCUUUUAAAAUUAGAAUAAUAGAAGAGAAAAGAAAAUAAUACUAAAAGAUUUACAUGGUUCGUCUACGAGAGCCUACAUCCACAGACACAAAGCUUCAAAAGAUUAUAUCUUUAUUGAAUUGGAUUAUAUUUUUAAAAUAUAAAGGCUUCUCCAUUUAUAAUAGAGGAUCUAAGACAUAUAUGGUGUGAUACUAUAAAUUAAGCGAUUCUCCGACUAUAAUAGGAAUAUAUCAAGUCUUCCUAUUUUAGUAAUUAUAGUCAUAUAUUAUUUAUCUAUUUAGGAAUACAAAUCCUAUGUUAAAUAUGAAUAACUUUCCAUUACACCCCCUUAAUGUAGCAUGAAAUUUUAUCAAUUCUAACAAUACCAGAAAAAAGUUUGGUUUUUUGAAAAAAAUACGUAGGUGGUUUCAAAGGUAUUUUAGUGAGGAAAAUAUAAGGAAAGUCAUAAGAUGGGAUAUUAGAAAAAAUUUUCAGGAGUGUUGGAUAUUUGCUAAAUCUCUUAAGAAUUCUCUUCUAGUGAUGUGGUUAGAACGUAACACUUGGAACUUGGAAUUCUGGAUCUAAUUUUUCACCCUUGUUUCUUAGAAGGAUUGUCUUUUAACAUGAAGAAUUUCCAACCUAUUAGUAUGGAGACUAGUAUCUAGAAAAUUGUUUAUGGUGUCUUAUCUGAUAAAAUCGAAUGUCAUUCUAGAUGAUACCAUUAUUCCAACCAUAUUGUUCUUAUUGAAGGAUGAGAAAUUAUGGAUGAUGAUUUGGUAGUUGCUGAGGCUGUUAAUGAUGCUAGGAAUAAACAUGGGAAAGUUUUUAUUAAAUUGAAUUUUGAAAUGGCCUAUGGUUGUGCAAAAUGCAAAUUAAAACUUUCUGAUGGGAUCAUGGAUAAGAGAUAUUUGAAAUUAGAAGAAACCUGUGGCUUGUUGUUUAUCUUCUGAGGAAAACUAGAUUUUGCUAGUGUUUUGGAGUCAUUUUUGAAAACCAAUUUAGUUAUUUUGCCAGGUCGAAAGGCACAAAGUUAAAGCUACCUCUGUUAAUUUUUUUUUUCUGGUUCUAUUUCUAGUGUCAAUUGAAGGAGAAUGCAUUUCCUGAUUUUAUUCCCUGCCAACUCUAACUAAUAAUUCCUUCUUCUAUCAAAUGUAAAAAAGAAGAGGGGUUAGGGGCUGACGAGUGCUGAAAGGAAAGGAAACUGUAUGAAUCUUCUACAAAUGGUUUAGAAGAUGAUGUUUGUUUGUCUAUUUAUUUAUUAACAAGAGUUUUUUUUUUUUUUUCUAAUUCCUUAAAAUUUUUGCUUGGGAUGGCAGGCUUGUGCAAUAUACAGCAACUGGUGGCCUAUGCUAUCAGGUUUGGACUGUUUGGUAUAUUCGACUUGCAUGCUACAAUUUCACAUUACAGAGUGAUGAUGUAAUUCUGUUGUCUAACAGCUCUCAUGUAUGUGCUGGUGCCUAUGCCUUGUUUAUUCUUUGGAGGUGGGUCCACUCAGUUUCUGAUUAGCCGGGAUGGUGGAGGGUGAGUACUUAAUUUUAGACCCUUGUACUGUUAACUAUUUCUUGUUAAUUAUUUUAUGUGGGUGUUCAUGUACACACACAUGGGAGACAGUAGCUGGUAUUUUGUUUAUUUCAUAUCUUCUAUGGUAACUUGAAGCUUUACAGAUAUUUUUCACCCUUUUCUUCAUGAGCCGCAUCUCAUGCAGUAUUCCAUUCCAAGAAUUUUAUUAUCAAAUCUUGUUUCUAUGACAGAUUUGUUUGUUUUUUUCUUCAAAUAUUUCCAAAUGCACUGGACUAGUGAAUCUGAAAUGUCGAAAUUUAGGUUUGAUAAUCAAUAGCUCUUUUUGAUUUGUUGGAAUCAUGAUUGUAGAUCAAACCAACUCACCUAGGCCUUAGUCUCCAAUGGAAUGGGGUUGGCUACAUGUAGAUUCACAAAUCAAAUAAAUUUUGUUGUGCAAAUGCAGUAAUGUUGCAUUUGGUUCAUGGGAUUUGAGAUGUUGACAUUUAGGUUUCAUAUAAGCUCUUUUUGACGGGUUACUUUCAUGAAUAUAGAGCAAUUCAACUCGAUUAGGCUUCAAUUUCAGAUGAGUUGGGUUGGCUGUAUGUAGAUUCAUGAGUGCCUAUGUUUAAACUUAUUUGAGGUACUUCUGAAAUUCUUAUAAAAUGUGUGAUAUGAAAUAUGAAAUUCUAUUCAAAUUCUCCAAAAAAGUUAGAACUACUUAAAUUUGUUUUCAUUGAAAUUUAUAUUUUAACACAUAUUUAUGAAUAUAAUAAACUAAAUAAUAAUUCUUAAACUUUAUUAAACAAUUUAAACCAAAAGAUCAUGUCUGGAUCUUGCUGAUUGGCAUCACUACUGAAUUCGGUCUAUAAAAGCGUCUGUUCCAAAAAGUUUAUCAACUUCAUUAUGUUUGAAACUUUCUGUUCCUAUAAGGUUCCGAUUGUUUCAUGGCUAGAAAAUAUUACCUGUGUUCUCCACUGGUUGGGAGUGCAAAAGAAAAUUAAGGGAGAGGAAGUCAUUUCCCCACUCAUGGGAAAAUGCUCGCCUUGUAAGGGAAAAUAACUUCCUGUUUCGAGGAUAGGAAGUUAUUUCUCCGGCCAUGCUCCACCUCCUUUUGGUUAGUUUUUGAUUUGCUGUGACUUCAUUUCCUAUAUUUAUUUAUACAUAUAUAUUUUCACUUGCUUUAUUUUCCUUUUCUACUUUGCUUUUUGUUCUUCCCCCUUCCAUUAUUGAGAAGCCUGCAUGCAUCAACGCUCCUCAAACUCACAAAGUUUGAGAUGCUUCAUAUAUUAACUUACUCUUUAUAUAUAUAUUUUAAUGCCAUAUGAGACAAAAUGUAAUAUCAAAUAUGAUGUGGAAAGAAGUAAUAUUAAAGGAUUUGCAAGUCUUGACUAUUAAUAUGAACUUGGUGUCAAUGCUUAACGGCAACAAAAGGCUCAUAUAGUAAAUCCCAACUAAUUUGGGAUUAAGACUUGGUUGUUAUUGUUGUUAAACAACAAAUGGAAAAUGUUUUCUAUAGACAAGUUAUUUUCUGUGAAAAAAUAGAUAUGUAUACGCAAGAACAUCCAUAGGGAGAAAUUUUUCUUUGGUUUCUUUUUUGUUUUGGGGGAGGUGGAUUAGCUUUAUCAUAAUUGAAUCUCUUGAUUUUUAAAGCUUGCCUUCCAAAUGCAACACUAUAUUGAAUCUAUUUUUAUUUGUGUUGCAGUUGGAUCGGUGCUGCUAAAUUCCUUACAGGGGCGUCAACUGUUGGGAGCAUAGCCAUUCCUAUAAUCCUUAGGCAUGCUCAUAUGAUUGAAACGGGGGCUAUGUUGAUCGAGUUCACAUCUUUCUUCAUAUUUGUUUGCACAGUCUUGUGUUUUCAUCGCGCCAGUCUAGAGGACGAUUGGUGAUUGAUUGAAUGAUUGAUAAUUGACGCUUGUCAAAUUCUGAUAUGACAUGUAUGAAUUCUGAUAUAACUUGUAUGCUUUUGUUGAACUUACAGAUUAUGACCAAUUAGUUGUAUAUACCUGGGAAAAGAAGAGUAAGAUUUCCCAUCCUGUAAAUUCCACUUAUUUAAAUCUUCCAAGGGAACAUGGAUUCACAGUUAUUUGCUUUUGUUACGAUUUAUUUUCCAUUAUUUUCAUAUGGUAAAUUCAGCAUAUGUUUUUUAUGUUUCUAAAAAUCGUUGGGUAAAUUAGCAUUAAAUUAUUUAGUCAAUAUUUUGAAAUUUUUUGUUUAAUUGAAAUUGACCCAACAUUUUGUAUUAUUUUGAAGAAACUACUUGUUUGAGCAAAUAAAUUUAUUUUUAUUUAAAAAAAUCAAAUUUUGUUACUAAAAGAUGUAUGUUUGUAAUCCUUGUCAAUGAAUUAGCAACGGAUCAAAAUCAAUUGUAAUAAUCCUCGUUGCUAAUUGAUGGUGCUUAUGAUCCUCCUAGUCAUCCGAUGAUAACGCUGAUAAGAGAGCACUGCCACUCUAGAUUAUUUUAAUUUUUUUACCAUGAUGUAUAUAUAUAUAUAAAAUUAGGGAAAAUAAUUUAAAUCUAAUUUAUCAAACAAAUCCAUAUAUCAUUAACAAAUAAGUCAGGCUAUAUAGUAAAUAUGUAUUCAUUUUCUUCUUUUUUUUUUAUUUAAAUCAUUAAAAUAUAAAAAUGUGUGAAUAUAUAAUAAAUUAUUAUUUUAUUAAUAAAAUGAAAUUAUUAAUAAGAGAAUGAAUAGUGAGUUUCAUAUUAUUAGACUCAAUAUUUUAAUUGGUAAUAUGGCAGAGAGCCAAAUUUGACAUAAUCAUCAUAGUUUUUUUGCUAAAGACACUGAUUAAUAAGCUUAAGUGUGAUUAAUCAAUAUGUAAAGAAAAAAAUAGUAGAAUGGUUGGAUGCCUAUAAACAAUCACAUCGAUGCUAAAGUAUGUAAUUUAUUAGAAAUGACAAUGACAAGUUUAAGAAAUAUCUUAAUCUUAGAGUAAAUAUGUAAAAAAUGAAGAAUAUAUAUCUUAAAUUUUAUAUAAUUUUUAUUUUUAUACUGUAAAAAAAUAAAAUUAAUUAUCGAAUUUUUAAAAAUUCGAGUGGUAUCCGUUAGUAAAUAAAAAAUCUCGGAUUAGAGACAUUAUGGAGAAUAAGAGACAAUUAAUUCAGAAGAGAUGAGUUUUAUAUUACUCUGAAUAUCGAGUGAUAUGAUACUCAAAUUUUUUUUUUCUCUGUGAAACUUUUAUAACUUAAUAUAAUAGCCUCGUGAGAUCUGGACGGAUAUUACAUAUCACAUAUACAAAAACAUAUCACAUAUACAAAAACUAUUUAUGCUGAUUUAGAAUUUAGUUCAAAUUACGUCAAUUUAAAGGCAAUCUUGGCUUAGUCCAAUCACGGCUUAUGCUUCAAUUGAGUAGAAAAAAAAUUUCCAUGCUUUUUAUGUUUGGAACAUUUAUGAUAAUUAUUAAUAAAAAAAUAUUUUCUAAUCAAUUUUGAGUAAAAUAAUUUUUUGUGAAAAAAUGUAUUUUUCAAAUUUUAUUAAAAUUACUAAUUCUAUACAUAAAUUUAUUAGUAUCUUUUAUAUUUUAAUAUCCCAAGUAAAUAAUAAAAAAGUAAAAUUAUUUCCAUCCACAAAGAAUUUUUAACAUAACAUAUUUUUUCACAUAUAAAUUAUUUUUUUUUAUAAAUAUACAGAGUUUUAAUAUUGAAAAAUUUGAGUUCCAAAUAAAUUUAUUAAUAUAAAAUUUAGGAAAUCAUUUAUAAUCUAAAAUUUCAAUUCAAGUAUACUGUUUAUCUUCUUCUUUUUUGUCGAAGAAUAUAAUGUUUAACUUUGAUAUUAUAAUUAUAGUGAUUGGAUAUAUUUGCAUCUUUUGCAAAAUAAAGAAUAAAAUUUUUUUAUAAUAUGCCUUCAAUAAUAAUAAAUAUUUUUAUUUUAUAUAUUUAUUUUAAAAGGUGAUAUAUAUUUUCAAUGUAAAAUUUUUAAAGAUGGUUUUUUUUCUUUUGGAAAAAAAAAGCAAGGCACUGGCGGAGAUCUCUAGACUCUUUUUUUUUUUCUAAUAAUUAUUAUUUUAUUUUAUUUUUUAAAUUACCUUCUUACACUUAAUAAAAUUACAUAUGAAUAUUUAUUUCUUAGACCAUUAUAUUAAUCUAAUAGUUAAUAAGGCCUAAAGUCCAUGAUUUUUUUAUUUAAAUUCAUUAAUAUGAUCCAUUAAUUAUCAAACUUAUGUUUAAAAUCCAGUGCUAAGACAUUAUUAAGAGCAACAGAUAAAUAUACGAAGAUAAUAAUCUUAAUUUCAGUAGUAAUUUUCAUCUAAAAUUAUUUAAAUUUUAGUGUAUUUUUAAUUUGGUCCCUUAACUUUUAUUUUUUUUCUUUUUUAUUAUUUAUUUUCUCUUUUUUUUUUCUUUUUCUUUUUUAUGUAUUUACUCAUACAAUCUAUUAAUUAUUUAUUAUUUUAUUUUAAUAAUUUAAAAUGAUAAAUUAUAAAAAAUAAAAUAAAAUAAAAUACAACCAAUAUUAUNNNNNNNNNNNNNNNNNNNAUAUAUAUAUAUAUAUAUAUAUAUAUAUAUAUAUCCUUUGACUAGUAACUAAACUAUAUAAUUAGAUAAGUUUUCCUCUGUAAUUUUUCUGUGACUUGAUGCUCUCAUCUUUUCCUCUUCUUAAAUCUAACUUCUUAUUUUCCCUUCUCUCAUGGAAAACGAUCUGCGUUAAUUGACUAUCGAAGAAGCUCAUCUCGUCAAAGGUCAGGAUAGCAGAAAGUAAUGAUCGUCCUGUGUUGAAAUUGCCGAGGACUCGGCAAUUCUCAGACAGUUAAUGCAUUGAAGGAUUUGGUUACUAGUUACAAGCCGGUCAUUUUAUUUUUUAUCGAAACAAAAUCUCUUAGUUCUCGUAUGAAAUUUUUUCAUAGUUUUUUACAAUUUAAUGGUUGCUUCUCAGUCAAUAGAAAAGGAUUUGGAGGAGACCUUUCGUUAAUGUGGAAGAGUCAUGUACUUGUUUCUGUGAUUGGUUUUUCUUCAAAUUUUAUUGAUUCGGUUGUUUUGCAAGAUAAUGUCCAAUGAAGGUUUACUAGUUAUUAUGGGUUUCCGGAAUCGCAACGACGACAUCAGUCUUGAAAUCUUAUUCGAGCUUUAUCUCGUAGAAGCUUUCUUCUGUGGCUUUAUUCAGGAGACUUUAAUGAUUUAUGCUCGAGAGAUGAGAAAGAAGGAUGAGCAACUUUGCCAAAUUAUCUUAUGCAGGUGUUUAGACAGGCACUUGAGGACAUUAAUCUUGUUCAAAUACCCACUGUUGGCUCUUUCUUCACAUGGGAGAAGGGCAGGGAGUCGAAUAAUCUAGGUAGAGAGAAGCUUGAUAGAGCCCUUGCUACUGAGGACUGGGCUCGUAAAUUCACUAAUGUUGUCUGCUUGGUUGUUCAUGUUUCUAGAUCGGAUCACAAACCGUUGGUGAUUAAUACAACUCCUAAGGAUAAUAGGGGAGACAGAAGGAGAUUUCGAUUUGAUAAUGCAUGGUUAUGUGAUGAGGGUCUGGCUGAGGUUGUUAAAGGAGCUUGGGUUAAUUCUAUACCAUACAACCUUUUGAUGAAACGUGAUGAUUUAGUUUCUGCUCUUUCGUUGUGGGGUAGGAGUAGAAAUAGAGAGUUUUGGCAAAAGAAGAAGACUAUACAUAGAUUAUUGGAUAAUGGGACCAGUACUGUUUCUCACGCCUCUUUAAAGGAAGAUUGAAAUCAUUUCCUUGAGCAGGAAGAAGCUAGACUUAAAGAACAGGCAAAGUGCUUUUGGAUUAAAAAUGGGGACCGAAAUACAAAAUUUUUUCAUGCAUAAAUUAAUGGUAGAUGAAGAAUGAAUCGUAUUACUAAAUUAAAGGAGUCAUCGGGUACCUGGAUUGAGGAUGAGCAGAAAAUUAAAAAUCAUGUUCUGGAUUAUUUCUAGUCUAUAUUUUAUAGCAGUUCUGUGGAUUGUGAACGGGUUUUUGAGUUGGUGCCGCCCUUUACUAGUGAUGCCAAUAAUACUGAUCAUUGUGCUCCCUUUCAAAUGAGGAAUUUAGAGCUGCUCUUUUUCAGAUGCAUCCAGACAAGGCACCUGGGCCGGAUGUGUUAAAUCAUGCAUUUUACCAGAGAUUUUGGCACUUGAUUAGCAAUGAUGUUUUCAAUGGUUGUUGCCUAUGGCUUCAACAAGGUAUUUUUCCUUCUUCUCUUACUAAAACAUUGAUUGUUUUGAUCCCUAAAGUGGAUAGCCCUGAAACUGUUAAAAACUUUCGUCCAAUUGCGUUAUGUAAUGUGUGAUAUAAGAUUGUGGCUAAAGCUUUGGCAAACAGAUUUAAAAGGGUCCUUCCUAUGAUUAUCUCUGAGAAUCAGUCUGCCUUUAUCCCUCAUCGAUUGAUUAUCGAUAAUGUUAUGGUUGCGUUUGAAAUGAUACACAAUAUGAAAAUUAAUAAGGGCAGAAAUGAUGGUAAUUUUGCACUUAAAAUUGAUAUUUCUAAGGCUUAUGAUAUGGUAGAGUGGGAGUUUCUAAAAGGCAUGCUGGAACGAUUUGGUUAUUCUACUCAAUGGAUUAGGUGGUUGACUAUGUACUUUUCGGAAGUUUCUUACAAAAUCAAUUUUAAUGGUGAUUGGAUUGGUCCUAUUAUGCCUGGUAAAGGUCUUCGACAGGGGGAUCCUAUUUCCCCGUAUCUCUAUUUGGUGUGUGCGGAAGGCUUAUCAUUACUACUUAGAGAUGCUGAAUCUAGAGGCUAGUUGCAGGGCUAUAGGGCAGGUGCUAGAUGCCCAAAGAUCUCACAUUUAUUUUUUGCAGAUGAUUCUCUACUAUUUUUUAAUGCUAGACUGGAGAAACCACAUACUAUUAAAUAUAUUCUCAAUACCUAUGUGGCUACUUCUAGUCAAGUGGUGAACUUCAACAAAUCUGGCAUUUUCUUCAGUCCCAAUGUGGUAUCCUCUGUAAGGUCUAAUAUCAGUAAUAUCCUGGAUGUUCAUUUCCCAUUGAGUCAUAGUGCCUAUCUGGGGUUACCUUCUCUUAUUGGGAGGAACAAAAAACUAAUUUUUGGUUUUCAAAAAGAAAGAAUGUGGAAGAUGAUUAAUUCAUGGAGCAGCAAAUUCCUAUCUAGAGCGGUAAGGUCUAAUAUCAGUAAUAUCCUGGAUGUUCAUUUACCAUUGAGUCAUAGUGCCUAUCUGGGGUUACCUUCUCUUAUUAGGAGGAACAAAAAACUAAUUUUUGGUUUUCUAAAAGAAAGAAUGUGGAAUAUGAUUAAUUCAUGGAGCAGCAAAUUCCUAUCUAGAGCAGGCAGGGAGGUUCUCAUAAAAUCUGUAUUGCAGGCUAUACCUGCAUAUUGCAUGAAUAAUUUUUUGAUUUCCAUUACUAUUUUGAAUGAAUUGCAUAGAAUGGUCAAUGACUUUUAGUGGGAGGGUAAAAGAGAAGGGCGAAGGGGUAUUAAUUGACUAGCGUAGGAGAAGAUGUGUAGUAGAAAGAAUGAGGGGGGUAUGGGGUUUCGGGACUUUAGGAGUUUUAAUUUGUCUUUACUUGGCAAACAACUGUGGAGGUUCUUAAAAAAUCCUAAUACUCUUUGUUAUAAAGUGUUUAAAGCAAAGUACUUCCCAAAUGGUGAUUUAUUUUCCGCCAAUAUAAGUAAUGGUGCUAGUUUUAUUUGGAAAAGUGUGAUGGCAUCAAGGGAGUUGAUUCGAAGGGGUACAAGGUGGAGGGUGGGUAAUGGAGAGAAGAUUUUAGUGGCUUCAGCUUCCUGGAUUCCUAAGGAGGAUACCUUUUUUGCAUAUGUGGGCCCCGAUUUUAUUGAAUCACAUUUGCGUGUUUGUGAUCUUUUUGAAGGUAAUGGGAGGGUUUGGAACAUUGCUCUUUUAAUAAAGCUUUUUUCUUCAAGAGAUAUCAGGGCUAUUAUUAGUAUUUGAUAGAGCAUAAUUUAGUCCAUUUUAUUAUGAUAUUAUUAAGGUUCAUUUAUACUUUUUCUGCCUAAUUUUGUGAUUUUAAUCUUAUUUUGCAGAAAAUGGCGUAAAGAGACAAUUUGGUGAAAAUGCCCCUAAAAUUGCCUGAAAUGGAGCAAAGGAGAGCAAGCAUGCUAAGUGCAACUUGAAAGGAUCCAAAUAAGGAAAGUAAUUUGAAAUUCAAAUUUCAAAUUCUUAAGAGAAUUCAAAAUUCAAAAUCAAGAUUCAGCUCAUUAAGGAAAGUGCUAAAUAAGGAAAGUGGCAAAUAAGGAAAGUGGCAAAUAAGGAAAGUGCAGUCAACAGAGCAGUUUGAAAUUCAAGAUCUUCAAGAAUCCUUUUCCUUAUUAAAGAAGCCAAAUCUUAUGAAGAUGCACAUUCAAAUUUGAAAUUCAAAUUCAGCUUGUCAAGGAAGCUAAAGAAGACACACAUGUCACCUCAAGUCUUGCACAUUCAAAAUUCAAAAUUCAAAGGGAGGCUUCACCUCAUCAUGUGCAAGGUUGGGUGGCAAGGCAAGACUUGGGCAGCAACUAGAGCAACACUCAAACACUAUAUAAAGACCAUCAAGGGGCUGCCGCACACCCUUCUUCUCCCAUCUAUCCCAUUCAGCGCACCAUCCCUUUGCAAGACAAGGCUUCGGCCACUCUUCUCCCUUCUUCUUUUCUUUUUUUUUUUCUUUUUUUUGUUUUUGGUUUUGUUUCAGCCAUGAGUGCCUGAAACCUUUAAUUCUAAUUGAAGAUUGGUUGAAACUUUGAUUGUUUUAUGGAUUGUGAGAUCUGAACAUACAUUGUUAUCUUUGGUUUAUUCAAUAUUUGUGCAAUUUCGUGCUUAAUUCCAUUAUUGCUUUGUUAUUAUGAUCAAUGUGGCCACUUGACUCUUGAUUGCAAGGUAAUAUAUUAUUAGUUUGAAUAAUUUUGAGUCCGUAAUUGCUUGUAUUGUUCAAACACAAGAACACUUGUGUAAAAACUAAGGAAGUUGCAUAAUCUAGCAAUAUCACCAUAUAUUUGGAUAGUUAGGAUUAGAUCUCUCUAUUUCUUAAUGCAAUUGACAGUUAUUUUGAUGCCUAAGACCCAAGGACGUUCCUUGGCAACUUGUUGAUUAGUGAUUAAUUAGAGGACAUUUCCUAAUUGGUUUAUAAUUAAGGAGAGACAUGGUGGUGAGAAGCGUUUUCCAUCUCCAUAACUAAUCUAUUGAAUCAAUCAAAAGAACCUAAGUUUUAAUGAUCAAUCCCAACAACUAAAGUGGAUCCAAUUCUUCACCUGGAGCUUUCUCAUUAUUGAUUUCCUUUAUUUUAAUUAUUUGCCUUCUUUUAUUGCUUUCUUUAUUAGUUUAACUGAAUCAAUCUCAAAACCCCCAUUUUACUUUACUUGCAAUUUACUUUUACUUUGCUUUCAGUUUCUUUGCUUUUAGUUAAUUCUCUUGGUCUUGAUAAGGAAGAUAGGUAAGUUUUCAAUUCCCUGUGGAUUCGAUCCUUUUACCACUAUCUACAGUUGUAAGAUUGUUGAUAAUCAGAAAGGUUAUUUUUGAAUGGCUUCGACAACCGCGAGUCAAAAAUUGGCAUUGUUGCCGGGAAAUUGAUUUAACUAAUCUAUUUUUCUUUCAUGACCAAAUCUGAUCAAAGCACCACCGAACCUCCACAGAAGAGCAUGCCAUCGCAGAACUGAUUCAUGGAUAAGAUAAGUACAUCUAUUCUCUAUUCUCAACUUUCUGAACUAACCUCUGCUGUGAAAAGUUAUGUCAUAGGUCAAGCUCAACAACUUCAACAAUCUCAGUUAUGUGGGAUUUGCGCACAUAUAGGACACCCAACUGAUCAAUGUCCUAUACUUUAUGAGGAUGACCAACCAGUGCAUAUAUUUGGAGGAUUCAAUAGUCAGUUUAGACAUAUAUUUGGAGGAUUCUAUGAAUAGCCAAGACAUGAUCCAUACUAUAACACAUACAAUCCAGAUUGGGGAGCCUAUCCAGACUUCAGUUAUGCAGGGGCUAACAACUACCAAAAUUAUCAAGGAUAUCAAGCCCAACCAGUACCUCCAAGUUCCAAUACUAGUCUUGAUGAGGUGGUGAAGACUUUGCAAAGCCUCCAACAGCAGAUAGAUCAAAUGGCCACUUCAGUGAGCAAGCUUGAAUCUCAGUGGGAGUUGUCAUCGUAAACAGAGGUGAAUCCCAAACAAAUUGUAAGUGCAACCAUGUUAAGAAGUGAGGAAGAGUUUCAAGAUGUAGAGGCUGAUGAUGGAAGUUCGCAAAUACAAGAUGUAGAGCUUCAACAUUGCAUAGAAAUACCACUGCUACUUUAUAUCAGGGCAAGAACUUGUUUUAUUUCUCUAACCCUGCUCGUGAUCCUGAAACCAUUCCUCUCCAAAUUCGUGCGUCAUCUUUAAGUUUGGACAAUUUCAGUUGGUUUUGUCAAGUUGAUGGGACUUCGUUUCAAGCUCAAGAUUUUAUUGGCUACGUUUUUGUUGUGGAAAACUCUGAGGGUAUAUUUUAACAUGGUGUUUUUUGUUUCUCGAAAGGUAAUGGUACGCCGAUAAUUGUUGAACCUUUAGCUCUCCGUCACUGUUUGCUCUUUGUGACAGAAUUUUUGUCUUUGAAUGGCUACAUUCUUAUGGACUGUUUGCAAGUAGUUCAAACUCUUCAGUCUACACAUUUAAACAUUUUUAAACUGGGUUUGAUUUUAAAUGAUUGUAAAUCUAUGUUAAACUCUAGAACUGAUAUUUCUGUUAGAUGGGUUCGUCGUUGAUGAUCUGAGAUCCAAUAGAAUAGGGUUUUACAAGGGUUCUUGUAUUAGGGAAAAUAAAGCUUAAACAUUCUGAGGGGGGGACUCCCCUUUUAUCCAUUUCGUCUUGCUUGCUGGUGACGUGUAAAGGUCUCUCUAGGAUUGGGCCACGCGUCUCUGCCAUACAGAUUCGGGCGUACGAGGGUAUCAGGCGCCUGCCCCAUGCGUAACGGCCCCUGAUUCUCCCUGGGUGUACGUUCAAACGGAUCUGCCAGGCUGUCCGGUGAGUAUCAUUCUGGAUACUGGGUCGGGCCGAGAAUUGGGCCAGAGGGGAAAGGGCCUGCUUCGCACGGACUGAGCCAAUCUGGGUGAGGAGGCUUGAUCGAGCCUGGCCUUGGAAGUUGGAUGAGCCGGACCUGCUUUGGGUGCCAAGUACGUGGGCCUUUACUUAGUGGGCUUUAGGUUGUGGUCGAGGCCCUGGACCGGGAUGAAGGAAUCCAGCGGUCAUCAAUUGCCCCUUCACCUUCUCGGUAGUUAUUGCUCUGACUGCCGAGGGGGUGAAUAUCGAGAACCAUUAUGACCACGUCUGUUCGCGUUCAGAUGCCUUCAUAACUCCCUUUCAUCUUUUUGUCAUUCCUCAUUUCUUGAAUUCUAUCUGCCUCUUUCCCUUUCUGGUCUUUCCUUACCUCUCAAGUACUCUGCUCUUCUUUACUUUCUUGUCAUUAUUGCCUGGGUGCGCUUCUUUUUCCUUUUCCAUGAAUAUCUGUUAAGGAUCCUGACCUUGUGGUCUUAGGGUCUAGAGUUACUUUGCGCUAAGACUUCAGAUUUCGAGUAUAUAUCAGUGUGGACUCUUCUUCACUUCUAGGCCCUUUGUCGAAGAAAAGGAGUCUUUCCUUCCAGCGAGAUUCUCCUGUUUUUUCCGCAAAGGAUGUAUUUGACGUUUUCUUCACACAGAUUAAGGUGAGCCAGAGGCUUCAUUGCUUUGUUGCCCCAGGGAUUUGCUUUUACCUCGCUUUCUUUGUUUUAACAAAAAAUUACCCUGACCUCUCUAUUUGGAAUUUUUUGCAGUACCUGAGAUAAAGAUGGGUCAGUCCAAAACUCUUAAAAAUCUGAUAUUACCUCGAGGGAGUCUGAAUGUUGCUUCUGAGGUCCUUCUAGUAGGGCGGUUGGCGGGUGGAGUCGUUCGGCGGGUCGUUGAAACUGUUUUAUCCAGAUCGUCUGGCUGGCCUCCCCCUUUGGUUGUUGUUUGGGCUUCAAGGAGGCUAUGGGCUGUUAGGAGGUCUGUUUUGACUUUAUCUUCCUUCAAGAAGGAAAUUUCCCCGAUGUCCAUGUUGUCUUCUUUUGAUAUAAAUGGAAGUGGCGAAAAUGAUCAAUUUAUUACCCCCUCUGGUGUGAAGUACCCGUAUUAUGAAAGGCUGAGAUCUGCUGCACUCAGUCAAGCUUUCGGCGAUGCCUUCGAAUAUAUGCUCUGCGAUCUUCUUGAGGCCGUAACUCGAAGACUUAUGUUUUUCAUGCGCGACAUCCGGACAACAUAUAAUAUCUGAGCUUGUUCGGAUGUACCGCGCAUCACAUUUGGGCAACCGAAUGUUUGUCCAUAGGGGAACAGUGAGAAAUGCUUAUGGGAAUCAACUUGUUCAGUUCUCCUAUAAUAACGACGCAGGGUUCGGCCGACCUACUGAGCUCGUUUCCCGUAUUCAAGAGUUCCUCUGUGUCGAAGACUAGGAUAAUGAUAGGUGAUAAUGAUGUAAACGUAGACGAUGUAUCUGAUCAUGUAAAUCCUCUAAGGAUAGCUUUUUGUUCUGUAAUGCGAGUAUUUGUAACGCGCUGUAAUGAAACUUUCGUUUUAACGAAAUUCUUGUUUUUCGUUCAUACUUGAGCUGUUCUUUCUUUGUCGUGGAUGAAGUACUGAGACUGCUUUCUUUGUAGUUGUAUCCAACUAAAUUUUGUUUUGCUUUUUUCGAGCUGGACUGACCAUAUUCGUGAGCUUUUGCUUUUAAUCGAUGAGCUGAGCUCCGGACUCACUUAGCCAACUGAGCUUUCGGUUAACUUUUUCCGAACUAGAAUAUCCGACCUGUGAGCUUUGUCCUUGCUCGAUGAAUUGAGCUUUGAGUCUCCUUAGCCAACUGAGCUCUCAAGUUAUGUUCCCCGGGUUGGACCAAUCGACCUGUGAGCUUUGUCUUUUAUUCAUGAGUUGGACUCUGAGCCCUCAGCUCUGUACAAUUCCAGAGUGCCCUCAUUGCUUAUUUCCGAUCUCGUAGCCUUUGUUUAAUAAUGAUAAGUCAAAUUUAUAACUUUUUAAGUGGUGGGCAGGUAUGACCUUUAUCAUGCUUCCUCCUGUUUGUCUCCUUGGGCUUUUCUAUGACUUAUUCUUUUUCCUUGGUUUUUACUGCCUGAGCGGUGAUGACGUGCAUUUUGCGCGUCAGAUCGUCCUGAGGGAGGGAUUCGACUGGAGCUCGGUUUUAGAGUUUUGACAACUUGUUUAUCUUAUGCGAAUAGCGUGCUGGCCUUCAGCUGAUGGGUCGUUGUCGUGGGCCUGGCCCUUUGUAGAGGUGGAGAAGCCCAGCGGUCAUCUCCUUGCCCCUUUACCUUCUCGCUGGUUACCAUCUAACCGUUGAGAGGGUAAACUUCGAGAGCAAUUAAUGAUCGCGCCACUCCAAGACAAAACUGCUCAGAACAAAGUUUCAUCUCAUUAUUGCCUUUCCCUUUGAAUUCUCCCUGUCUUCUCAAGAAACUCGCUCUCUUCUGCUCUCUGUUUUCCUGCAACUUCUUCUGUUUCUUCCAUCUUAUUGUGCUUUCAGGUACGCUUCUUUGCUCUUCUAUGGAGGGUCCGAAGCUCCCCGAUGUCGUUAAUAUUAGGUCGCAUAUUACUUCUUCCAACAUAACUAAGCACAUUUCCCAGAGGCUCUUAGAUACUCCACUGUAUCUUAUUCGAGCGCCUUUUCAAAACAAAAGGAUAGUCCUUCCUAACCCUCCUCCUCCUGGUUUGAUUGAUCCCUAAAGGGGUCGCUGUAUAGUGUUCUUUCUCAAACAGAGGGAUUUCAGUCUACCGUUUCCUUUUACCCCUUUCUUUAUUGAGGUUUUCGAGUACUUCGGGGUAACCCCUCGGAUGUUAUCCCCAAAUUCUAUUUUGUUUUUGUCCUGUUUUGAGUCUAUCUGCCUGAGUUAGGGUUUUACCCCCACAGCGUGUCUGUUUGUCACUUUUUUUUGUCUGGUUAGGGCAGUUCAGAAUUUUUAUUACUUUUCCCCCCGUACUGGGUUGUCUCUUUUCACGGGCUACAAGGAUUCCAUAAAGGGAUGGGUAGAGAAUUUCAUUGUGGUGGAGCUGAAAUUAGAGUCCGCCCGAUCGUGGGAGGUGGAUCUAAGUUGGGAGGAGGUCCACCCGGGUUGCAACGAGCUACCCCAAUUGAGCCUUAUUGAGCAGGUGGGGUUGCUUCGACUGACUUCCGUUGAAAGGAAGUAUGACGUCGAGAAGUAUGACGUCGAGAAGUGUAUGUUCGUGUCCAAUCUUAGGGAUGUCCGGGACACGGGUAUAUUGCUUUGUCUAGCAAUUCUGUUUCUUCUUUGCUCAUGAUAUCAGAAAGUAUACUGACUCUUUAUGAUUUCGUGUUUUUUGCAGCUUCUGAGGUUAAAAUGGAUGACAUCAAGUUCCCCAAGAACUUUGUCCUGUCUCGGGAUAAUAUGCACGCAGUUUUCGACGCUUUUUCGGCUGGGCGUUCGGUGUCUGUGGCUGCUGCGGAGGUGGUUCAAGCUGUUUCCUCCAAAAAGAUUAACCGACCUCCUGCCAAGGCUUCUUCUCAAGCUUCUAAACCAAGCUCUCGUGGUGCCAAAUCACGUCGGCCAUCUAGCCGUGGUGGGUCGAGCUCAACUUUUAAGCCCGCUGAAGGGUCUAAAUCUACUUCGGCUUCCUCAGAGGGUGCGAGGGGAACCUCCCUAGCCAUUAUGGAGCAGACCCAAGUCGUUGAACAAGUGGAGUCGGGUCUUGUCCAUUCUCCUGAAGGGGUGUCAGGGGAAAAUCUAAGUCCCCCGUUACUGAAGACAAGGAGGCCGCUGGGACAGGGAUGGAGAUCAUCCUCAUAGAGGACCAAGUCCCAGACGUUCCUAUCCAAAAUGCCCCUGCCUCUGUGGGGACUGGGCCUGAGGAUUCUAAAGGCAUUCCACUAAAGACCGGGGAUAAGCGCCCAGCCCCUUCCGGAACAUCUUCCCCAUCUCCUGCUCGGAAGAAAUCCAGGGCUGCCACAGGAUCUUCUCCAGCUCUUCCUCCCAUUGGGAAGGGGAAAGGUGUUCCUGCCACGCCUUUGUUGUCUUCUUCUGGCAACGUUCUAAAUGCGUCGGACAUUACCUCUGAGUCUCCGGCCAGUGCUGUUGCCGAACUUCUUAGAGAGCGAAUGUUUGGCGGGAUUAUCGAGGCCUCUGAUUCGCGUCUUUUUGCCCUGACUGGUCUCUUAGCCAGUUUUACCAAGGAACAAGCGUCCUUUCGGUCUCGCUCUCGGGAGGAGCUCGGAUCGACAAUUAGGGAGAUGCUUCUGAUGGUAAAUUACUUUUCCACUUCUCUUUUAGUUUGCUUUAUUUCUUCCUCUUGACGAUUGUUAUUCCGUGCUAGGUGACGGGCCUCUUUAUGGAGGUGGAUGCUCGUGAUUACUCCUUUCGGGAGUCUGUAGACCGUCGGAUUGAAGAGGCACGUCUGGAUGAAAAUUUGUCUGCCACUAGUGACGCCAGGGGUAACCUUGCAGCGACUCGGGAGCAUACCUAGUCCCUCCAGGUAGAGUUACACUCUGCGCUGGAGGUCAUUAAAAAGGCUGAGGAGAAGGCAGCUGAGACAGCAGAGCACACCAAGUCUUUAGAAGCAGAGCUGUCUCAUGCUCGCAAGGUCCUCAAGGAGUCUGAUGAGAGAGCAGCUGCCGUGGAGGCUCGUUGUGCAGAAGUUUUAAAGCAGCUGUCCUCUAUGACGGAGGUCCUUCGAGAGAGAGAUGAGGCUGUGAACCAGAAAACUGAGAUCCAGCGUCAAUAUGAGGCCUUAAAGGCUGAUUCUGAAGGACUUCAGGUUCACCUGGAGGAGGUGAAAACUCAGAAGGAAGGGGCCCUAGCUCGGGUGGAGGUCCUUGAGCAGGAGUUGAGUACGAGCUCUGAUCGUAUCAGGGACCUGGCUUCGUUGGCUGAAGAGUUUAACCUUCGCCACCAACAGCUCAACCAUGAAGUCAGGACCUUGGAACGUAAGUGUUCAGCCCUGCUCAAGGUAGUAAAGCAUGUUGAGGACAGGGCUCAGCUAGAGCGUGAGCGAUGUAUAGCGGAGUAUGAGGAGUCUGAUGAACUGAAGAGGAAGAUCGAUCAGGCCUGUGAGGUUCACCUUCAGGACUACAAAGAUUCCUCUGAAUUGAAGGCAUUUGUAGCUGAGGCUUGUGAAGCACAUCUGGAUGAAUACAAAGCUUCCGCUGAGAUGGGGUCGGCUAUUUUUAAGAAAGCCUUCCGUAUGUACGUAACCGGUUACAAUCGUGGUUUGAGGGAGGCUAGACACGCUCCUGAUGUUCCUUUGGAAAAGCUUCAUAAGCCUGAAUUGGACUCGGAUGGCGAGCCGGUGUUAUAUGGGGAAGAUGAUUUCCCUAUGCCCCGAGGGGAUUGUCGCGUCGUAGGCCGGCGACCAUCUGUGUCUUCUUCAGAAGAAUCCGAGCCAGAGGGGGAGGACGAGGAAGUUCUUGGGUCAGAGGGAGAUGUCCCUAAUUCUGAGAAGGAGGACCCCCACCUAGAGUUAGAGAUUGCCCCUGUUGUUAAUGUUGAGAGGCCUGAGCCAAAGGAGGUCGUGCUUCCUCCAGAUAUAGUUGUAAAUAAAGAUAGUGUAGGCGAGGAUGUUCUUACAGAUGUGAGUCCUUUAAGGACUAUUUUUCCUUCCACCUCGUCCGAAGAUAAAUUGUAACAGCUAUUUGAAUGAAACUUUGAUUCCUUUUUCUGGAAAUAUUCUCAUUUAUAAGCUCUUUUUCCACUGAAUCAGUCUUAAGUUGUGAGCUCAGUUCUUGGCUAAUUAUCUGAGAGAUCAAAUCUCAUAUCUUUUAAUGGCGACUAGCAUGUUUUGACUUCGGAUGCUUGUGCUAAACAAACUGAUUUGGGCUUUGAGUAUAGCCUUUUUACCUUCAUUUAUCUUCCUGCUGGUUUCUUCGUUUAUGAGCCUUUUUAUAGAGGGAGCUCGGCUUUGCGCUCGGCCUUUAUACUUCGAGCAUUAGGGUUCAGGACUAUCCGAACUGGGAGCUCGGUCUUUUCUUCUUACCCAGGCUUUAAGUAUUAGUAGUCAUUUCGAGGUCGGUGUUUUUUAGCUGUCAUGCCCCGAACCUUUUCAAGAGGUCGGAACCCCUUUGGAAGGUCGGAAUCUGGUUUUUGCUUGAUAGCCUUGAGUCCUUCUUUUUUGUGAAAUUGGAACAGUAUUUUUAUAAGUUGUCCCUGCAUAUGAUAUGAGAAGUUUGUACUUCGGGAGGUUUUUGGGACCUUCACCGACCGUUCUUGUUUUGUUUUUCCGGGAGUUCUUAGGGGAUCUCGGUUUUCAUGCUCUGGGAGGUCCUUUAAGAUCCUCACCUGCCAUUUUUGUUCCGGGGUGACCUCGGGGCCCCGCCGGCUGUAUUUUGCGCCAGGAGAUCUUACGGGAUCCUGGUUAUUUUUGCUCCGGGGUGACCUCGGGGCCCCGCCGGUUGUCUUUUGCUUCAGGAGAUCUUACGGGAUCCUGAUAUUUUUUGUUCCGGGGUGACCUCGGGGCCCCGCCGGUUGCUUUUGCGCCAGGAGAUCUUACGGGAUCCUGGUUGUUUUUAUACCUUCUUAAGGUUUUGCACAAUAUUCAGGCACAUUGGCCUUACUGUCGCUUCGCUAUCUCAGCUGGUUUUGUGUCUAUUUGAGGUCUUGUUUUUCACGGAGGAGUAUUAUUCACAAAGAUAAUCACAUUGUAUAAACAAUUUUAUUCACUCAUGUGUGUCAGAAUACAAUGUUUUUUCUUUACAAAUAUAUUAGGGGAAAUACCUCUUUAAGUGCUGGAUGUUCCAAGCGUGGGGCUCAGGGUUUCCUUGCAUAUCUUCGAUCCUGUAUACCCCUGUCUUGACCACUUUUAUUACUCUGAAUGGACCUUCCCAGGUCGGUGCUAACUUGCCCGCGGCCGCUCUUUUCCCUGUAGCCUCUAGGUUUCUUAAUGCCAGGUCUCCCACUUUCAAGCUUCUCUCUCUAACCUUUUGGUUGUAAUAUCGUGCUGCCCGUUGUUGAUAAGCAGCAGUUCGGAUUUGGGCUUCUUCCCUAACUUCUUCAAGAGCAUCUAGGUUGCUUCUUAACUUGUCCCCAUUAGUGUCUUCACUAACGAAUUGGACUCGAUGAGUGGGAAUCUACAACUCGACUGGGACUACUGCCUCCGUGCCAUAAGCAAGUGCAAAGGGUGUUUCUUUAGUGGGUGCUCUGGGAGUGGUUCGGAGUGCCCACAAGAUACUGUUGAGUUCUUCAGUCCAAUUCUCCUUUGCGCCAUCUAGCCGUUUCUUUAACCCUUGGAGGAUAGCUCUGUUAGUGACUUCUGUCUGGCCAUUAGUUUGAGGAUGGGCCACAGAGGAGAAUUUGUGCCAUAUGCCCAUGUUCGUCGUGAAGGCUCUGAAGGUACUGUAGUCAAAUUGUCUACCAUUGUCUGAGAUAAGCACUCUAGGUAUGCCGAAUCUACAGAUGAUAUGCCCCCAUACGAAAUCUAUCAUCUUGCGAGCUGUGAUUGUGGCUAUCGCUUCUGCCUCUGGCCAUUUUGAAAAGUAUUCUACAGCCACCACUACGAAUUUCCUUUGCCCCGUAGUCUUGGAGAACGGUCCCAGGAUAUCGAUUCCCCAUUGUGAGAAAGGCCAUGGACUGGAUAUGCUUGCUUGAGGAGUGGCAGGGGUUCUGAUGGCAUUAGCAAAUCUCUGACAUACGUCACACUUCCGGACAAACUCUUCUGCUUCUUUUUUAACAGUGGGCCAAUAGUAUCCUUGCCUGAAUACUUUGUUGGCCAAUGUUCCUGCUCCUUCGUGGGCUCCACACAGGCCUCUAUGUAUCUCUUCCAUUACCUUUGUAGCCUCUUUCGGGCUCACACAUCGGAGCCAUGGACUGGAUUUUCCUUUUCUGUAUAAGGUUCCCCUUAUUGCUUGGUAAUUAGCGGUACGAGCUGCUAUCUUUCUGGCUUCAUCUUUAUCUUCGGGGAGCUCGCCCUUUUCCAAGUAUCUCAGGUAUGGGGUCAUCCAAGUUGGGCUUUGUUCUACCUGCAAUAUCGUGUCAGUUUUAUUAAAAGCAGAUGUAUGGACCUGUUGUAUGUAUACUUCGUCGGGAAGCUGUUCCAGUUCUUCUUUGGAUAAUCGGCUGAGCAGAUCUGCUUCCUCAUUUUCCUCUCGGGGUAUUCUUUGAAACCUGAUGGUUACUCCUCGACCCAUGAGCUCGGCUUCCAAAGUUUUUACUUUAUCAAGGUAGUUCUGCAUGACGGGGUCCCUAGCCUGAUAAACUCCCGUCACCUGGUUGAUCACUAGUUGAGAGUCGCUAUUCACCUCGAGAUCGGUUACCCCUACCUCCAAAGCUACCAACAUUCCAUUCACCAGGGCUUCAUAGUCUGCUACAUUAUUCGAGGCUUUGAACUCUAGACGUAGGGCGUAACACACCUUAAACUCCUCUAGCCCUUUGAGCAUUAUUCCGGCGCCAUUGCCCUCAGUGCUUGAUGCUCCGUCUACAUACAGCUUCCAGUUAAAUUCUGGAUGAGCUCCCCCUCACAUUGCUGUCUUGCUGUCCCUGAGGAUGAUCCUCCUUGCACCUCGUUGAAUGAGCACUCUGCUAUGAAGUCAGCCAAAGCUUGGGAUUUUAUAGCUGUCCUGGGUCGAUAUUCUAGAUAGUAAGGGCUGAUCUCGACGGACCAAGCCAACAUCCGACCUGAAGUUUCUGGCCUGCGUAGAAUCUUCUUUAAGGGUUGGUUUGUCAUCACAACUCCUUGGUGACCCUCCAAGUAAACCUUGAAUUUUCGAACUGCUAGCAAUAGGGCGUAAGCCAUUUUUUCAAUGUUUGAAUAUCUGACCUCGGUAUCUCUGAGUACCUUGCUGACGUAAAAAAUGGGUUUUUGCUCCCCCUCUUCCACCCUUACUAACACUGCGCUGACUGCUUGUUCUGAGGCCGCCAAGUAUAUCAGAAGUUCCUCUCCUUUUACAGGGCUGCUGAGUACAUGGGGCGAGCUAAGAUAUUUCUUAAGCUCUGUGAAGGCUUUUUUGCAGUCUUCCGUCCACUCGAAGUUCGGUACUUUCCUCAACUUUUGGAAGAACGGCAAUCACUUUUCUGCCGAUCUGGACAUGAAUCGGUUGAGCGCCACUACUCUCCCAGUUAGUCUCUGGACGUCUCUUACACAGGUCGGCUCUAGCAUUUUUAAUAUGGCUUCCACCUUCUCCGGAUUAGGCUCGAUGCCUUUUCCGCUUACCAUGAAUCCCAGGAAUUUUCCUCCUCGAAUAAAGAAAGCACACUUUGUUGGGUUCAACUUCAUUCUAUACCGGUUUAAUACCCCGAAUACUUCCCUCAAGUCUGCCAUGUGCUGUUGAAAGUUUGGGCUUUUGACCACCAUGUCAUCUACAUAAACUUCUACAUUCCUGCCAAUCUGAUUUUUGAAGAUUUUAUUCAUCAAUCUUUGGUACGUUGCCCCGGCAUUCCUCAAUCCGAAUGGCAUAGCUCUGUAGCAAUAAGUCCCAUCUUCAGUUAUAAACGAGGUCUUUUCCUCAGAAGACAUAUAAUCAAAACCGGCCGUAGAGUCGACCAUUUUAUUAAUAUCAGGCAGUGGAUAACAAUCUUUAGGGCAGGCCUUGUUUAGGUCAGUAAAAUCUAUGCACAUCCUAUAUUUGCCAUUGGCUUUUUUGACUAAUACAGGAUUUGCUAACCACUGUGGGUACAUAACCUCCCUAAUGAAACCUGCCUCCUCGAGUUUCUGCACCUCUUCCCUGGUGGCCUGCUGCUUCUCUCUUCCUACCACUCUCUUUUUCUGUUUUACUGGCUUGGCCUCGGGGAGUACAUUCAGCUUGUGUGUCAUUACCGUGGGGUCAAUUCCAGGCAUGUCGGAGGGCUUCCAGGCGAAACUAGACGCAUGACCUCGGAUCAGGGCCAUGACUUCAACUUUCUGUUCUUUAGUGAGGCCGGCGUUGAGACUAAAGACCUUUUCUAUCUCUGCUUUUGAUAAAGGGAAGGUCUCCAGCUCCCCCACCGGUUCUGUCCUGGCCUCUGUUUUCUCAUCUCGAACCUCUAGGACUUCCGAGUCAAGAGCUUCUCCAGUGGAGCUCGGUUCUGCUACUGUGGCCAAGUAUACUGCUCUUGCCUCUUCCUGGCUGCCCCGGACUAUUCCCACUCCUUCUUCUGUUGGAAAUUUGAGCACCAAAUACCCGAUACUGGUGACUGCUUCGAAAUUGAACAGCGCAGGCCUCCCCAAGAUCACAUUAUAGCUUAACGGAAGUUUGACCACUAAAAAUACCUCAUGGUGAGUACGAGUUCUGGGUGCUUCGCCCAAGGUGAGAGCCAGCUUCACCUUCCCUUCUACGACCACCGGUACCCCUCCGAUCCCCUUGAUUAGUGCUUGGUCUCGGACCAGCUGUUCCUCCGAAAUUCCCAUCUGUUGAAAAACCCGGUAUGGUAGCAAGUUGACUUUACUUCCGUCAUCCACUAAGACCUUCUUUACCCGAUAAUUGUGAAUGAUGGCCUCAAUGACGAGCGCGUCAUCAUGGGGCAUCUGGAUACCCUGGGCAUCGUCUGCAGAGAAGGUGAUUGUCAUGGGAGAGUGGUCAACGAUCUGCAUGACCUCGGUGCUGCUGGUCUCUCCCUCCCGAUUUCUCUUCUUCCCUCGGCGACCCAUUCGUCCUGCCGCUCCUCCAACAAUCAUGUUGAUGGUCCCACUGGAUCCAUCGUUCACUGGUCCAGCUCCUGUUCUCCUCGACGCCUGAACCGCGGGGCUGGAUUGAGGCCUUUGUCCCUCUGAUUUCUUUACAAAAUUCUUUAGGUGCCCCCUCUUUAUCAACCUCUCGAUCUCUACUAUCAACUAGAAGCAGUUGUUGGUAUCGUGGCCAUGCGUCCGAUGAUACUAACAGUAUUUGUCAGGAUUCCGAUGAUCUGCUUCCGACUUCAUAGGUUUGGGCCACUGGAGAAAAUCCUUAUCCUGGACAGCCAUGAGCACCUCGGCUCUGGACGCAUUUAAUGGAGUCGGCUUUUCAGGGACCCAAGGGGGAGGCAUCCUUGGCUCAAGGGCCCGUGGAGGAGGAGGCCUUUGAUCCCUUCGCUCCCAGGCCUGCUUGUAUGGCUCGGGCCUUCUGCUGUGUUUCUUUUCAUGUUUCUCUGGCCUCCUUUCUUCUGAGGCUUUUUCUUUUCCUGCCAUCCUUUUGGCAAAUCGGCUCGUUACUAAGGCGUCAUCCUGCCUUAUAUACUUCUCCGCUCUCUGCAUCAGCUCGGCCAGGGAUGUGGGAGGCUUCCUGCUCAAGGAACCGAAGAACUCGGCAGAGGUCGUUCCCUUUUGCAUUGCCUCUACCACCUUUCCUUCAUCAAGAUCGGGGAUCUGCAGGGCCUCCGUAUUGAAACGAGCGACAUACUCUCUGAGUGAUUCACCCUCUCUCUGCCUUAUUGUCUCCAAGUAGCUCGUCUUCCUCUCCGCUGGCACUCCGGCUAUAAAUCGACUGAUGAAGCGAAUGGGUAGGUCUCUGAAACUCCUGAUACUUCCAGCCUCAAGACUGUUGAACCACGCCCGCGCUGGUCCCGAGAGCGUCGUUGGGAAUACUUUACACAUUAAGGCAUCAGAUAGAGUUUGCAACUCCAUGAAGGUCUUAUAGUUCAUGACGUGCUCCCUCGGGUUACCAUUCCAUCAUAAGCCGCCAUUGAUGGCAUCAUAAACUUCUUAGGGACAGUCUCUUGCUGCACCCACUUGGAGAAAGGGGAAGAAGUAGGCAAAGAGGUUUGGCUGUGGUCUUUCUUACCUAACUCGGCGAGGAGUUGUUCUCUCAGUUUCUUCAACUUUUGGUCCACCUUCUCGUCUUUUGGGCUGAGUUUUUUCUCCAGGUGGUACUCCUCCUCCUCUGCUUCAGUUCCCGUCCACCCGGUUAUUUCAGCGGAAUAGUUAUCCACCUCCUCAUUUUCUAUCAUCUCUCUCGCCCUCCUCCCAUGGAUUCGGGCCUCCGGUCCUUCCUCUUCGCCGGCUCUUCUCCCUCUCUCUUCAGUAUCACGGCUGCUGGUUUGAAGACGGUCAGGUGCAGGUCGGGGGUCAUUGGUCUGAGGUUCCUCUACAACCAGGAGAGUAUUUGCUGGGGUGUUGAGGCCUCUCUGUUGCAUUAUCUGCCCCAACCAGUGGGCUGUGUUUUGUAACUGGAAAGCCAUGGUUUGAAGAUCUUGGUUAGACAAGGUGACAGCGGGAGUAUUUCCUGCCAAACUUGGCGAGGGAUUAAGAGGAACAGGUGUUUGGUUGUUCAAUGCCGUAGGACUAGAAAAAGAGAAUUGUUGCCCCUCUUGGGCAGAGCUUAGGUCAUUUGGGACGUUAAGGUUACUUUCUUGGUGAUUAGCCAUCGUGGAUCUCAGUGGGUUUCUUUGAGAGUGAAAACUCCGGUGAUGAAAAGAUCUCCGUCGUUUCCCACAGACGGCGCCAAUUGAUGAUCUGAGAUCCAAUAGAAUAGGGUUUUACAAGCGUUCUUGUAUUAGGGAAAAUAAAGCUUAAACAUUCUGAGGGGGGGACUCCCCUUUUAUCCAUUUCGUCUUGCUUGCUGGUGACGUGUAAAUGUCUCUCUAGGAUUGGGCCACGCAUCUCUGCCAUACAGAUUCGGGCGUACGAGGGUAUCAAGCGCCUGCCCCAUGCGUAACGGCCCCUGAUUCUCCCUGGGUGUACGUUCGAACGGAUCUGCCAGGCUGUCCGGUGAGUAUCAUUCUGGAUACUGGGUCGGGCCAAGAAUUGGGCCAGAGGGAAAAGGGCCUGCUUCGCGCGGACUGAGCCAAUCUGGGUGAGGAGGCUUGAUCGAGCCUGGCCUUGGAAGUUGGAUGAGCCGGACCUGCUUUGGGUGCCAAGUACGUGGGUCUUUACUUAGUGGGCUUUAGGUUGUGGUCGAGGCCCUGGACCGGGAUGAAGGAAUCCAGCGGUCAUCAGUCGUCAUGCUACUCUAGCUGCUCAUACUUUGGCUAGAGAAUCUAUUAGGUAUGAUCGUCUCUCUGUUUGGGAUGAUAUCCCUCUUUGUUUGAUGAAAUUUUAUUAAUAUAAUCAAUAGUUUUACUUUUAAAAAAUAUUCCUUUGACUUUAUUAAAAAAUUUCAAUAAGUGAUGAUUAUUAGAAAUGUGAUUUUAUUUUUAGAUUUUUUUUUGUUAAUUUAUAUAAGGAGUAUUGGUUUAAGAAAAAAAAAAUGAAAUUAUUCUAUCUUUAUUUUUUUCUUGUUAUGGAUGGCUGAAUAAUUUUAGGUAAUCUUAAAUUUCUCUAUUUGUUUUAUAUAUAUAUUGCAAAAUGAAGUUUAUUUUAAAUGAUGGAGAGAAAAAAAAUUUUGUAAUUGUUUUUCUUAUAAAUAAAGAGAAUAAAAAUAUAAAAUAAACAAUAGAAAAGAAUUUUAAAAAAAAUAACUUGGAAAAAGAAGUUUAAUGAAAAUUUAAUUGAAAUUUGAGAAAUUUUAAGAAAUAAAUUAAAAUUGAAUAACCAAAAUAAAAAUACAUUACAAAUUGUAAUGAUUGAUUUUAAGUGAAAAUUAUUUUAAUUUUAGUGUCAGUUAAUAAUUAUUUUAAUUAUUUUAAUUAUUUUAAUUUUACAGUAUUUGGGAGUGUAAAUAAAUUAAACUGUUUGUUAACUACUUGAGAUUCGACUCACUAAAAAUUUAACUGGAUUUGAUUUAAUUUCUAAACGAGUCACGUUCGAGUUUAACUUUCAGGUUCGUUUAGUAAAUGAGGCAAACUUGAACUCUAUAGUAUUCUAUUUAUUAAAACUUAUGAAUUUAACUCAUUUUUGAGUUUAUAAGCAGACUUGCAAAUAGGCUUAUAAACCGUUUCGUUAAGUAGACUGAAAUUAAUAUCACAAGAGAACUCGGUUCAAACCCUACAUAUAUUUGCAUGAGUUAAAUUUAAUUUUUUUUUUAAAAUUCAGCUCUACAUAAUUUAAUUAUACUCUUAAAACUUAUAAAUAUUUAAAUCAUUAAGAUUUAAGAACUAUUUUUUAUGAGUUUGCAAGUUAAUUUAUAUAUAUAUUUAUUUGAUUAAAAUUAUUUAAUUUUAAAUUAAAACUCAUUAUACAUAUAAAUAAAUUAAAAUGUUCGUAAACUAUUCAAAAUUAAACUGGAUCAAAUAUCGAUUUGUCUAAAUUUAUUUGCUAAAUAAAUUGAGGUAGAAUUUAUUAAUAUUUAGUUCGAAUUCAAAACGAGUAAAACUCGAAUUCGAUUUGAAUUCAAAAUAAUUUAACAAAUUAAAUUUAAACUCUUUAAAACUUAUUUCAACUCAAUUCGUUUAUAUUCCUAUAAGUAUUUUUUAUUGAGAUUUAGCAACGUAGUAAAGAAAAAUGGCAAAUUAAUAAAAAAAAAAUUAAUGAAGUCAUUGGAUUGUAUUUAGCUGAAAAUUUGAUUUUGGGUCUGAAAAUUAUGAAGUGAUAUAUGUGUGACAUUGGGGGAUGGAUCUAUUACAGCUUCUCCCAACUUCAAAAUUCCAUGAAAUUUACUUACCCACUAAGCUUGGAAUUAGGGGCAGGAAGAGAGACCUCCUGACUUUUUUUUUCCUUCUCCUCCGACUAUGUAACGCAUAUACACAUAGUCAAAAAUUAAAAGACCAUAUGGAUUUUAAUAAACAUACGCUUAUACACACUCUCUAAAUUAUCAAGAUUUAAAUAAUUACACGUUUAUAAAAUCUAUGUAUCAAAAGUUAAUAAUGUAAAUUUCAAUUUGCCAACUGAUUGUUUGUAUAAAGAUUAGAGUCCAAAUUAUAUAUUCGCUUCUUGUAAUAUGUGAUGGCUAUUUCAUGGGAUGCAUGUCCUUUCCAUCAUGAUACCAGUGAUAUAAAUGAUCCCAAUCCCAAAGCGGUUCGUUAGAUAGAGCCACUGCCGUGUUGCUCUGAUCACCUGCACGCUGAGGAAGAUAGCCAUCGUUGUGUUGUGAGAAUGAUGGUGAGCUUCUUCUAUCCAACAUUGGAGGGCUUUCAUGAAUUGUUCUUCCCUCUUCGCUAUGAACCUGUCGAGCACCUGACUCGCCUCUCUCUGUCGCUGAUGGCCUUCUACCAAAUGUCCGCAGGCGUUUUGCUGAUUUCUUGUAUACCCGACAAAGACUGAACUCUUUCCUUAACUGCAAAAUGUAUAAUCAUAUAAAUCAAUUGAAUUUUUGGUGAAAUUUUUUAUUUCAAGCGGGCGGAAAUAGAGAGAGAGAGAGUUAAUUUAAAUACCCUUGGAUGUGCACCAGUAGAUGAAGAACAGGAUACUGCUGCUGCUUCAGUGGCUUUAUAUUCAUUCAUUUUCCACUGAGUCUUUCUUCCAUUAGGAACUCUUCCCUUAUAAAAAGCCAUUGUUCUUAUGGCACCAAUGCAACUGUUGUUGGAAGAGUAAACAUAACCAGCAGAACCUGUUGAUUUCCAGUAUCCACAAGGAGUCAGCCUCUUUGGUUUUCCUCCUUUUGCUUCUCUUUCUUGUCUCGGAACGAAGAAGAACCAUUGUUCAGGAUCCCUCCUGCACAAUUCUCCUGAUAAUUCUAAAACCAAACAAAGCCCUAAAUCAAUUCACUAACAAAGAGAGAUCAUCAAGUUUUGUGUGUGCUCUUGGUUGCAUGAAACUUUCACUAGUGGUAAGUUCUCGAGUUUGAAUUUUAGUUGAAGCUAAUUGUAUAUACUUACGUGGAAGUUGCCAUGGAUCGAAGUCGUAUAUAUCAAGAACAGCUACAACACGAUCAAUAGCCUGGAUCAGAUCAUCCUCUCUCUUGUCUUGUAGCUUGUUAUGAAGAUAAAAAGAGAUCAACUCUUCUUCUGUUGGGUAAAAUCGAAAUCCAAUUGCCAACUCCAUAGCAAUUCUUUAUUGACAAGGACUUGGAUUUUUCCCCAAGAAGUUCAACUUUCUUUCCUAGCAAAAUAAAGAUAACACUCGGUUAUAUAGAAGAAGAGAGUGAGAGAUGGAUCAUCAAAGAAAUGGAAGACAGAAAAGAAAGCACGAAGUGAGAAUUAAGGCAAAGCCACAAGUUUCUAACUUGGACGGCAAAUGCAUAAAUAUAUAUAUUUUUUAUCAUUAUUAAUAUAUUAUUAUUUUUUUGAUACAUCAUAGAAAAUCUUGCUUUUUGGCUUAUCUUCGUGUGACCCAAUUAAUUUUUUUACAUUAAAAAAAUAGUGGUGGCAUAGAAUGUUAGAUUUGUAAUUCAAAACCCUUUUGGAAUUUUGAAGACUAUUUUUUUUCUAAUAUUACUUAAUUGGACGGAGGAUUAUUUCUUAUAUAUCAUGUAAAAUUAAUACUGUACUGAUAUUUUUAAAAUGAGAAAAACAUAUUAUUUAGAUGAGAAUCGAUAAAAUUAACAUUAUAAAUAUGAGUAUAGUAGAAAUAUUAAUCAUACUAAGGGUGAGCAGUAUUCAGUUCUGUUGAACAAUAAAAUCUGUGAAUGAUUCAGUUGUUGUGUAUUUUUUUUCGGAAAGAAUAUUAUAUAUAGAUACAUUUACAACACAAAAUCAGGAGAGAAAAAAGAAGCAAUUAUAUUCUAAGGAAACAAGAUAAACUUGUAUAGAAAACAAUAUAUAUCAGAUCUAUUAAUUGUGCAAAUCCCAAGAUUACGUAAUCUACUCCUAAUUAGGCAGUUCAUUCCAACACUCUCCCUCAAGUUGGAGUAUGGAUAUCUAUGUUCCAACUUGUCAACCAUAUCAUGGAAUAUCUUCACAGACACUGCUUUUGUGAGUUUAUCAGCUAACUGGUCUUCUCACUUGACAAACUGGAACUGUAUAAUCUUUUGGUCUACCUUUUUCUUGAUGAAAUGCCAAUCAACUUCAACACGUUUGGUGCGAUCGUGUUGUACGGAAUUCUGUGCAAUCUCAAUUGCAGCCUUUGUCUAUUUUGGAUCUGCUAAGGCAUCUUGCACACUACUAUGAAUAAAUAUUUUGGAUAAUUGAUUAAUAGUAAGUGCAUACGAUUUAGACAAUCCAUGAGUAGAAAGAUAAUUACUAAUUAGAUACUUGACAUUGGCUCUAAGGUCAGGUUCAUACUGUUUCCUUGGUACAUCCUUAUUUGAUCUUUGUAGAUAUCUAGGAGCCAAAUUGUCACAAGAGUUACUUGUUUCAUUACACUCAUCAAGUAUAGGACUCGAGUUUACCUGAGUAGAGAUGUUAGUGUCAAGGACAUUCUGAGUUGAUUCUUUGGUCAAUGGUGUUAUCAUGGGCAACUCUUCAGGUGUUGGUGAUUCUUCAGCAGACAUUAGUAUUUGUAAUUUUCCAGAAUGAACUAAUGAAUCUUCAUCACAUCUUUCAGGGAAACCUUGCUGACUGUUAUGCUGAAAACUUUCACUUACUUUCUCUAGUUCUAAGAAAUCUGUCAUGUUUUCUUGUGGCACAUUCCCUUCACUAAAGCUCCCCCCUGAAAAGAAGGAGGUGUGACUCCUCCUGAAUAGUAUGGUUCUGAUUUACGAAAGGACACAUCAAAGGUCACUUAUAAUCUUUUUGUGUGUAGAUCAUAGCAUCGGUAUCCCUUCUGAAAAUCGGAGUAGCCAACAAAUACACAUCUUUUAGCACAAGGAUCAAGUUUAUUUCGCAAAAUUUUUGGAAUAUGGACAUAUACUGUGCAACUAAAAACCCUUGGUUCAAGAUUUGGGACAUGUGACAAUGAGAAGACAACUUGCAUCUUUUGUUGAGGAGUUCCAAAAUUAAGUAUGCGAGAGGGGACCCGAUUAAUUGGAUAAACAGCAGACUUCACUGCUUCUCCCCAAUAGAACCGAAGCAUAUUCAUGCCAAAGAGAGAAGCACGAACAACUUUCAUGAUUUGCCCAUUUCUCCUUUCUGCCAAGCCAUUUUGUUGUGGAGUAUAGGUGUUAGAAGUAUGAUGUCGAAUCCCUCUUUCGCUUAACUUCCCACAGUUUGUAUCUAGGAACUCCAGUGUGUUGUCAAUUUGCUAAAUACGAAUCUGCCUUUAAUAAUGAGUGCCCAUCAUAUUGUAGAAUUUCUGAAAUGCUGUAAGAAUAUCAAUUUUUUUGUGAAGCAGAGACACCCAAGUCAUUCGUGUGCACUCAUCAAUUAAUGUAACAAAAUAUCGUGCUUUAGAAAUAGAAGGAAUCUUUACAAGGCCCCAAACAUCAGAAUGUAUAAUCAUAAAUGGUUCAGAACAUUUAUUUAAACAUGGUGAAUAAGAAAUACAGUGACUUUUGGCCAGUUCGUAAAUAUCACAAUGAAAGUCUGAAAUAUUCAAAUUUGAAAAAAGAUACGGUUGCAAUCUCUUAAGAUAUCCAAAUGAAAUAUGUCCUAACCGCCGAUACCAUUACCAAACAGUUGCUUGAGCUUUAUCUCUACUACUUGUUUGACAUGCAAGGUUAUUUUUUUGUUUUCCAUUCUUUGUCAGAUCCAAGUAAUAGAGUUUGCCCCUUUUAAUACCAUAACCAAGAAUCUUCCGGAUCAGAAUAUCCUUAUCAACAAUACCUGGGUGGGUAACGUUAGCUGUAGGUUGUGAUUUGUCCUCUAUAUUUUGUUGGACCUCUGUUGUGGCAGCCAUCAUAGGAGUUCAUGCAACCUUCUUCCUUGAUUUUUUUGUGAAGUUCCACCAUUCAGGAUAGCCUAUGAUUUCAUAGCAUCUUUGUUUUGAAUGCCCUUUCUCGCCACAAUAACGACAGACAAAAUUAUUAGACUUGGCACUUUGAGUUUUUAUUGAGCCAGAUGAUGGUCCUUGCUGAGUUCGUUUGGCUACCAUAACAGAGCUUUCAGAGAUAGGUCGAGAACCUCCCAUCGUCUGUCUUUGCUAGUAUUCUCUUCGUACAUAUGCAUAAGUGCUCUCUAGAUUAAGUUUGGGGGUUCUUCCGAAGGAUUUCUCCACGAACAUCAUCAAACUCAGAAUCAAGCCCACUUAAAAAAACAUAAACUCGAAGCCUAGCCAUUGCGGAAUGCAAUUGGAUCACCCCUUCGACGAUUUCUUCCUGAGAGGUCAUCCUGUGAUCUAUUUCCUGGAAAAUAGCAACAAGUUCAUUAUAAUAUGUGGAUAAUGGUCUACCAUUUUGUGCGGUGGAGAAGCAUUUUUUUAUUCAAUUCAAAGAGACAAGUCUCAUCCAAUCCAUCAUAGAAGGUCUUUACUACAUCUUUCUAAAUUUCCUUGGCCGUGGAAAGACGAAUGAACCACUGCAUCAGCAAUGGAUCCAUUAAGUCAAUAAGCCAACUUUUCACUUUGUGAUUUUCGGUGACCUGUAUUGCGUAACUAAGAUCUUCGGGUGGUGGCUUCUUCACUUCUCCAGUGAGAUAUCCAGCCUUAUUACGAGAGCCAAUGCGCAUCUCUAUGAUUUGUGACCAUAAUGGGUAGUUGGUUUCAUUAAGUAUAACACUGGUGGGGAAUGCAAAACUGUCUUGGUUGAUGAUAAUUGGUGGUGUUUGGUUGUUUUGUAGAGUUGGAAUAAUGGGGUUGGUCUCAACCAUUUAGGUUCAGAAUAGUGUUUGGGCAAUGAUUAGUGGAAAGAAAAAAUGGGAAUGCAGAUGGUGGCUGAGCAAUAAUGGUGUUGGGGAAUACAAAAUAUGAUGUUGCAGAUGGUAAGUUAUGGUGGUGGUUUCAAGAUAUGAAAUUUAGAAAGUAAUUCUUCCAGAAUUAGAAUUGCUCUAAUACCAUGUUGAACGAUAAAAUCUGUGAAUAAUUUUGUUGUUGUGUAUUCUUCUCCGGAAAGGAGGUUAUAUAUAGAUAUAUUUACAACACAAAAUUAAGAGAGGAAAAUGAAGCAAUCCUAUUCUAAGGAAACAAGAUAAGUCUGUACAGGAAACAUUAUAUAUCAGGUCUGUUAAUUGUGCAAAUCCAUGAUUACAUAAUCUUCUCCUAAUUAGACAGUUCAUUCCAAUAGGUUCAAACUGAAAAAAUCGAUCGAACUGAAUUAAUUUGAAAAUUUAGUUCGUUUUUUUAUUUAUUUCAGUUUGAUUCGAUUUUGAUAAAAAAAAAUUAAAAAAACCAAACUGAACCAAUUAGCAUUAAUAGUAUAUUAUUUUCAAUAAUAUAGAGAGAUUAGAUUAUAUUAAAGUUAAAAUAUUUCAAUUAAAUUUUAAAAUACUAAAAAUAAAGUAUAAAAAAUAAAAAAUUUAUUAAAAAUUUAAACUGAUCAAAAUCAAAUUGAUUCGAUUCGAUUUCGGUUCAGUUUUUAUAAAUAUUAAAAUUUUGAUUUUUAAUUUAAUUCGAUUUUAAAUCGAACCGAUCGGACGAUUAUCCCUAAAUCAUAUAGAAUACACUUUUUGUAUUAAUUGAGAUUUCGUGUUAAAAAAUAUUAGAAUUAAAGGUAAAAAUAUAUUAAUAUUAAUUUUAUUGAUGUAAAAUUUAAUAUACAAUAAUAAUAAUAUAAAUAAUUACUGCUGUAAAUAUUUAAAUUAUAAAUGUUUUUUUUACCAAAAUUACAAAGAGUAAUGAAAAUUAAACGCACACAUCCUUCUAUUCCAACUAGAAGCCCAUCUGCCGCCCCACAAAUAUUAUAAAAAUAAAUUUUACUAAUAGAGUCUGAACUAACACAUUCACUAAUAAAAUAAUGGUAAAAUUAUUUUAAUUUUUAAUAAAUCAAACUGAUUAAUAUUUUUUUACAAUUAAUUUUAAUUAAAUUUAAAAUUUAAAAAUCUCAAUACGUCCAAAAUAAUUUUAAUAUCACUAAAUUACAGUUUAUUUGUGACUAUUUUACAUAUUUUAUAAAUAAUUUUAAACAGUAGCAUGGGCUGUUGUCAUCGAAUGGAUUAACAUGCUAAAGUUUUUUUUUUUUUUUUUUAUCAUGCAUCAAAUUAUCUACCUAGUGAACAUAUUAGAGAAUUAGAUCUCAUUGUGAAAAAUAAUUUAUAUUUAAAAAAUAUUUUUUAUAAAAAAGUUUUUAAUAAAAAAUUUUAUGAUAAUUCAAUUUGAGCUUCGCUUUAAUGUGGCAGAAAGUUAUUUGCAGACCCUUCUUCUUUGUUUUUUCCUCAUCGUGUUUUUUACUUUGACUUCUCCUCGGGUUUUAGUCGGUGACUUCUCCUAGGGUUUCUGUGUUUAAUGUCUUUGGAUUUCUUCCUUGCUGGGUUGGAUUUGGGACUUGGUUUUUUAGUUUCUCUGAUUUUGGGCCUGGUGAGCCCUUAUUGUAAUUGGACAUUGUAAUGGGAUUCGACCAUUAAUGAAUCUUAUUUUCGAUAACAAGAAAAAAAAUUCUAGUGACCAAAUGACAUCAACUUUAUUUUUUUUUUUACAUAAAUUCAAUGAUUUUUGAGUUCCAUUCAUAGAAAAUAAAUUUUAUUUUAUAAAAUAUUAAAAUCUAAUUAUGAAAGAAAGUUUUGAGACACUCAUAAAUUUAAUCUGAUGAUAAAUAUAUCUGAAUAAAUUUAAGAAAUCUCAUAUUCUACUCUCUCAAUCUCCAAUUUCCAUCUAAAAACAAAAAACUCUCAUAGCCCAAACAUAAAGCAGUAUUCUAUUUCUCCCAUUUCUUUUCAUAAUGGCUAUCCACAAAAUGUCGGUCAUCAACACUUUACACUUGGUUCAUUUUCUAUUUUUACAUUGAUUCUCUUCUCACCUCGUUUCAUUAAUAGUAAACAGAUUAAUUUUUGAAUUUUUAUUUUAUUAAUAAAAUAUUUUUUUAUUAAAUUACUAUUAAUUAAAAAAAUUAAUUUAAAUUAAAAAAAUUAAAUCGUUGUAAAUAUUAAAACUAUAAAAUUAAAUUAUUAUAAAUUGUUAAAAUUAAAAAAAUUAAAUUGUUAUAUAUUAAUAAUGAAUUUAACAGAAUAAAAUUUUAGAGAUUAAAUUAUUUAUUAUUAAAAUGAUAAGGACUAAAUUAUAAAUUUUAUUAAAUUUCAAUAAUUAUAUUAUAAAUUAUUUUUAAUAUUAAUUAAAAUAACUUAUUUUUUUAAAUUAAAAAAUAUAUUUAACUAAAUAAAUAAAAUUUUAACACUUUAUUAAAAUUUAAAAUUUCAAAAUUAAAUUACACCCAACUAAAUAAAACCAUCACUUCUUCUUUGAUUUUUUUUUUUGGGCAUAAUCUUUUCUUUAUACUUUCAAUUUGAAGUUAUAUUAUUGUUAGCUUUGGAUUGGAAUAUGCUCUCACAUACUUAAAUUAUGAUUUGAAUUUACUUUAGGUUAUAGCCGAGAAAAAGAAUAAAUUGUAAAAGAUAAGGAGAGAGGGGAUGAACAUUAAAUUUAGGUUUGAUCGGUUGGAUUUAAAAUCAAAUUGAGUUAAAUAAAUUAAAAUUUUUUGAAUUGAAUAAAUUAAAAAUAGAAAUUAUAGUAUUUAUAAAAACGAAUCGAAUCGAUUUGAUUAGUUUGAAUUUUUAAUAAUUUUUUAUUUUUUAUACUUUAUUUUUAAUAUUUUAAAAUUUAAUUAGAAUAUUUUAAUUUUAAUAUGAUUUAAUUUUUAUAUUAUUACUAAAUCGGUUCGGUUCGAUUUUUUAAUUUUUUUCUAAUUAAAAUCAAAUCGAAUCGAAAUAACCGAAAUUUUUAAAAUUAAAAAUCAAACCGAAUUAAAAUAAAUAAAAAACUAAAUUAAAAUUUUAAAUUAUUUUAAUUUACACUUGCAAACGAAAAUAAAAGAAGGUAAAAUUAAAGAAUUUGAAUUAUUAAAAAUAAUUUUAAAAUAAAUAUUUAUAUAUAAAAAAGGAAAGUGGAAGGCAAUGCGAUUGGAAGGUGCUUUUCUUUAUAAAGCCAACUGAUUCUUAUUCUUAAUUGCUAUAUAUAUUUGAUUUUUACUGUAUAUUUCAACAUUCCUAUCACCGAAAUUCGAUAUGAUCGUUUACAUCAUUGCUAGCUUUUUCUCAAAAUAUAAUAGAGAGACUAGCAUAAGGUUUUUUUUUUUUUCUUUUAUAUACAAGAGGAGCAGAUUUUUAGAUAGUGAUAAUCCGAAGAAAUAAAAAAAUAUUUAUAAAUUAAUUUGUAAUAAUUUUUCAAUAACUCCAUAUAAAUUCAAAAAUUAUUUCAAAUUAUUAAAAAUUGACGUGAUAGUUAAAUUAAUUAAUUGAUCUGUAAUAUAAUUUAUUUAUCUAUAUAUAUAUCUAAAUCUUAUUUAUCAAUUGAGGUAUAACGGUUUAUGAAAUUUAUUUUAAAAAAUAUUUAUAAUUGAAUUUUUUUUAUUUUAUUAAUCAAGUUGCAUCUCUCGAAAUUAAUUAAUUAUACUCAACUAAAUAUGAUAAUUUAGUUACUCAUUUUACAUGGGCUUCAAAAUUCUUUUGAAAUUUUUUUAAAAAUAUAAUUAAAAAUGAUUUUUGAAAGCGUAAAUUAAAUAAUCAAUAAUGGGUUAUUAAAUUUAUCUAAUCUAACUUAAUCAGUAAUUAAAAAUAUAUCACUUAUUUAAUAUAUUUAUAUUCCAACUCUACUUAAAAAAUAAUUAUCAAAUUUUAUCUGUAAAAAUUAUAAUUAAUGUGACUUCAUUUGAUAAAUUAAUAUUUUUUUUAAAAAAGACGAGUAAUUACUGCACUCACAAAUUUAGUCUGGUGGUAAGUGUAUUUAAAUAAAUUUGAGAGAUCUUAAAUUCUACUCUUUUAGUAACUAAAUUUCCAUUUCAAAAAAAAAACAUAUAUAAUUACUAAAUUAUGAGUGAAACUCAAAUCUACACAUCAGAAUGAAUUACAUAUAUUUUUAGUUAUUCAACCAAGUUAGUCUAAACAUAAACAACUGCUAAAUGAUGAAUAGAGUUCAAAUCUAUAUAUCGAAAUGAGAUACAUAUAUCUUUAAUUAUUGAAUCAAAUCAGUCUAAAUAUAAAUAACUACGAAAUAAUGAGUGGGACUUAACUCUGCAUAUUAAUUUAUUUUUUCAUCUUUCAAAUUUGAAAUUUUAUAGCUAUGAUGUCAAUUUUGAUUUCAAUUUAAUUAAUUGUAUUCCUCCUUUAGUAUGUUAUUUAAAUUUGACUUUCAAGAAAAAAAAUCAUGUUAAAUACUGUUAAAAAGAUUUUUAAAAAAUUAUAAUUAAAAUUUAUUACAUUUAUUUUAUUUUAUUUUUUAAUAUUUUAUAAUUAAUGUAUGCAUGUAAAUAUAUAAUAAAAGAAAAUAAAUUCUUUUGAAUAAUAUUUUUUUCUCAUGUUUUUUUAUACAAAUGAGGUGUGGAAACUAAAAGAAUAAACAAAACUUGAGAGGGAUCAUAAUGAGGUGUGGAAACUAAAAGAAUAAACAAAACUUGAGAGGGAUCAUAGAGGAGAUGCAAUCCCUUGAAUGUCUCAAUCAAUAAAGUCACGCAUAGCAAUAAGGAGAGAAGUAGAAAAAUCCAAUUGUACGGAAUGACCAAUGACCAGAUUUGCAAGCCCAUAAAUCACUUUAUUAGUUUCACGAUAAUAAUAUCGCAGAACUAUCUACCAAGGCCGAGAAAGCAACUCCUAAUACUACGAGAGUAUACUAAAAAAAUGCAGCAUAUAGCCUAACCUCUUCCACAGAAGACUGCAAUAAAUUCAAAACCCCUUUAGAAUCAACCUCAAGCCCAUCAACCACUUCAUUAGUUUCACAAUAACAAUGUCGCAAAACCAUUUGCCAACGCCGAGAAAGCAACUCCUAACACUGAGAGCAGACUAAAAAAAUUCAACCUAACCUGUUUCACAGAAGAUUGCAACAAAUCCAAAAUCCCUUUAGAAUCAACCUCAACCUAUAGUCUCUGUAUUCCAUAAUCCCAAGCUAUACAUAGACCAUAUAAAAGAGAAUUUAAUUCAGCUUGCAUUGAGUUACAAACAUCUAGUCUAAUAAUAAAUCUAGUCAAUCAAAACCCUCUACUAUCCCUCAACACACUACCCUAUUGUUGUAGCCUGAAUUACCCCCUUCAAGCUCCAUCAAUGUUUAAUUUAACCCAACUCUCUCUAGGAAAACCCAAAAAACAUCAAUAAGUUUUUUAUUUCUAGGCACAUAUUAUCCCACCCAAGCAACAACAUUAAUAUGCAAAGCAAUUCUAAGCAUAUGAAACUUACUCUCUAGAGGGUGGUAAACCCUUGUUAAGAUCAAUUCAUUAAGCUAUUUCUAUAGAUACUACAAAGUUAAACAUAAAUUUUGAUCCGAGAAAAAUUACAAACAUGAUACUUGGGUAAAACUCGAAGCAGCCAUCGGCCAAUCCGUAGGCUACAUCAAGUAGAAGGAAUGUAGAGAAGCACAAUACCAAAUAAUAUCUCAUACCUCUCUGACUCUACAACACUCCAUAAAAAUAUGAAUUCUACCUUCUAUGGCACCCGAACACAAAAGCAGGAUGGGUCAAUAGUAAAACUUAUCCGUUUUCUCUCCAUAUUUGUCAUCAACUUACUAAGCUGGAAGAGUUAGAGAAAAGACUGAACUUCUUAAGCAACUUUAGACUUCCAAAUACAGCCCCAAACUUUAUCUGAUUGGUCUAAAAUCAUAUUCUUGUGUAUCAAAAAAGCAGAUUUCAUAGAGAAAUUGCCAGAUGAAGUACCAUUCCGCGCUACCUGAUUAUGAUAUAAAAAGAUGAGGACUCACCACCACAGUUUCCAAUUGGAGGCAGAGAGAUAUCGAAAGAUAAAGAGAGAUCAAAUUCCAACACUAGGACGUCUCCUGAUACACCUAACCGCAACAAGAGCAUGAUCUACUUAUGGAGAAUCACCUAACCAUACAUCAUUCUAAAAAUUUCUCAAAUGGCCAUUACCAAUCUCCAUAUAGGAACCUUGUUGCAAUAAGUCCCUACUACAAGUUAGACCCCUCCAUUGCACAAACAUUCUGUCACAAAACUAUACUAGAGAAAUCUAAACAUUGUCUCAUAAUACCAACCUGAUGGACUGUUACGUCCCUAAAUAAUAAAAGGUCAUUUGCAAAAAAACAGGUGAGAGAGUGCCAGGUAAUGACAGAGUAAGUUGAAUAGCUUUCAAUUCUCAAUCUCAAUCAAAUAAUUAAUACAAUGACUCAAACACUCCAUGGCAAGAAUAAGAAGGAAAAGAGAUAAAAGAUCCCUUAACAUACUUUCUGUGUA
rnacentral:lncRNA from 1 species